ACCAACCAACCAACCAACCAACCAACCAACCAACCAACCAACCAACCAACCAACCAACCAACCAACCAACCAACCAACCAACUAAGUUACUGACUAAUUACAAAGUGACCAACGGACCUUUUACCGUCCAACUACUUUAUUACCCAGCCUCAAUGACCAGCAUAUACUUACUAGGCAACUAUCAACGCUUUCUUUUUUGAAACGGACUUAUCUACCAACUGCAUACAAACUAACGUAAUAACUUACUUAUCAACUUAGUUAUUCAUCAACUAGAAUUAAUGACUGUAACCAACUGACGAGCUGGUCGACCAACAGGGUACGAACGAACUGACUUUAUUACCAACAGACUUCUUAAUUAAGCAACUAACUAUAACGAAUACUAACUUUCUACGAACGAGUCGCACUGGCGCUUAGGCGCAAUUCAGGAACAAUGUUUAUGUGUUUUUUUCCGUCAUUUUAAAACACAUUGGCUGCAUACUUUUCAUGUACUUAACAUAUCUUCGUUAAUAUUUCAAACGUCUAAGAUAAAUUUAUUAUAAAUACUGUGUAGAUUUAGAAGUUUACUAUUGUAAAAGUGAUUUAUAAUUUGAUAGAAUUAAUAAUGUAAGAAAAAGUUUCGUAUCCAGCAAAAAAUUGUCGGUUUAUUAUAUAUUGGUGGAUUUCAUGCAGGUAAGCGUUAUCAGACGGCUGAUCACUUGGUCAACUUCAGAAAUCGGUUGACAUUAUAGGAGCGAAACAGUUAAACUAUAUCUCCCAAUCCUAUUUAUUUAACAUCAAAUACAAGGUUACUAAAGGUGGAGUAAUACGGGCAACAAAAUUGCUGCAACUUGCAACAAAAUCUGAUUUCAACGCAUGUUACAGUAAGUAGAAGUGUCGACACAUGUUGCCUCGUGAUUUGUCAGGUUGAUGCAAUACUGAUGAAAACAGGAUUGAACAAUGUUUUGCUGCCCACAUUGUUCAUAGCUGUCAACAAUAUUGAACAAUAUUGUUACACCCGAUUCAGGCUCAAAAACAUUGUUCAAUAUUGUUGACAGCUAUGAACAACGUGGGCAGCAAAACAUUGUUCAGUCCUGUUGAGCAACGGGCUCGGCGUUUUUUGCCGUGUAGUUUAUGUGUUUUUAAAAAUUUUCAAUUAACAUGCGUAGAGAUCAGAUUUUGUUGCAAGUUGCAGCAACUCCAUGCAGCUUAAAAGCUAGAAUUAUCAUUAUUUUCUCAAUCUGAUAACCAUCGGUUGACUAUCAUCUGCAUUAGUGUAUUUGGCAACCGAGAACGGCAACCGGCAACGACAGGAAACAACAUUACUUCCAUUUCUGUAUUUGAGCCAAAGCACACAUUAUUAAAAACUUUAUUUGUAUACCAACAGUAUAGUUUCGAGUGCGUUUUGGAAAAAACAUGCACGAGUGAGUUUUUUCAAAGACUAUCAAAAUUGCACGAGUCCGAAGGACGAGUGCAAUUUGAAGUCUUUGAAAAACUCCUGCACGAGUGCCUGAUGUUGUUUUUUUUAAACUGCACUAGAAACCGUACAGUACUUAUUAAUAUACAUGAAAAAAUUAUGCAGUCGCGUGCGCAAAUCACAUUUAGAAAUUAAGAAAUGAAGAAAAUUAAGAAAUUUGAAAAAUAAAUAAUAAGAAAAUUUAGAAAAUUAAGAAAUUCGCAUUUUAUUUCAUUUUUUGGCACUGUAUUUCGAAAAAAUUGCACUGCUCUUGCUCUUAGCCAAUCAGAAUUGAGAAAUUUUUCAUGUAUACUAUUAGCCACUUAAGGUGGCUCCCUACAGUUAGUACAGUUUAAUUACGAUUUAUAUAGAUCAGACUUCAUCCUCGCGACCUGCGCGUGGAAUCGUCGUGUUUACUGUUCGGCAAAAAUAUUGAAACAAGCCGUGGGAAGUUUUUUGGCGUUUUUAUCUACAAAGAAAGCCCCAGUUUUUCAUUAUAAUCCUAAUUUUUUCUGAAUUCGAACAGUACGUAUGUUAUUAACUAGUUUAACCUAUCUUUUAGUG
rnacentral:lncRNA from 1 species